rnacentral:misc_RNA from 1 species
ACGUAUCUCUGACGGGGUGCGGUGCGCCCAGCUCCGGUCCAAAAGGCCGUGCAGCGGGAGCCCGUCCCUGUUCAACCUCACAAACCCACUGUGAACCUUCACGGCGGACGGAGGGCGACCUCCCGAUGCCGCAUACACCAACUCCAGUUGUAAAGAAUGUCAUGCGGACUUAGUGCCGUCUAAAACACAAAA